UGACUGUAGCCAAGUCACAGGUGGUGUCAUUGGUGCUGUUGUAGUCCUUCUGCUCAUAUGGAUCUCAGUUCCCUUGAUACUGUUUCUUUUGAAAAGGGGCAUAAUAUCACUCCAGGCGCAGAACCUGCAAUUCUCCAAAAUCGACCACAGUUCUGUAACGUUCACCUGGGGAACACCGCUCUUCAAGGCCAACUGCUACUGCUGGUGGGCCAUGACCAAGGGGUUAAAGACCCAUGAGAGAUUGUCCCAAAGCCUCUGAACUUGAGGAGCAGUGUGUUCUCCACAGAGAGCCCAAGACGUGGUCCUCUACACAGACUCACCUGGACCCCAACCAGAGGAGGAGCAACUGAAUAGCUCUCUCUCGCUCUUUCUCCCCAUGGUGAAGAUGCUGGUGAAUGGUAACAUGAACACCUACCCUCUGACUGGACUGAUUCCCAACACUGAAUACAAGGUGGCCGUGUCCGGCAUCUUCAGAGACAAGUUGGAAAGUGAUGCCAUGACCAUCAAAGAGUCAACAGGUAAACUACAGGGUAUGUAGCUAAUGUAACCAUUCUGAAGGACUUACAUACCUACUGCAGACCUAUAAACUACAGGGUAUGUAGCUAAUGUAACCAUUCUGAAGGACUUACAUACCUACUGCAGACCUAUAAACUACAGGGUAUGUAGCUAAUGUAACCAUUCUGAAGGACUUACAUACCUACUGCAGACCUAUAAACUACAGGGUAUGUAGCUAAUGUAACCAUUCUGAAGGACUUACAUACCUACUGCAGACCUAUAAACUACAGGGUAUGUAGCUAAUGUAACCAUUCUGAAGGACUUACAUACCUACUGCAGACCUAUAAACUACAGGGUAUGUAGCUAAUGUAACCAUUCUGAAGGACUUACAUACCUACUGCAGACCUAUAAACUACAGGGUAUGUAGCUAAUGUAACCAUUCUGAAGGACUUACAUACCUACUGCAGACCUAUAAACUACAGGGUAUGUAGCUAAUGUAACCAUUCUGAAGGACUUACAUACCUACUGCAGACCUAUAAACUACAGGGUAUGUAGCUAAUGUAACCAUUCUGAAGGACUUACAUACCUACUGCAGACCUAUAAACUACAGGGUAUGUAGCUAAUGUAACCAUUCUGAAGGACUUACAUACCUACUGCAGACCUAUAAUUACAAAGUCGCAUUAACUUUGUAACUUUGAGCAUAACAAGGACAAUGUAGUUGAUUAUAGCUGUGUAUGUAUAGUGAUACUAUUAGGUAACGUUUAGGUGAAAGAAGACUGUGGGGUUUACCAAACAAUUAUACAAAAAAGACUGCAGGGUUUA